AUUGGUUGGGACUUUUAUUUGUCGAAGCAGCAGCUCCGGGUCACAGGUGUUUGGAUUGUGACGAUGGCGGCGCCCAGUGAGCUGUUCUGCUGGAAGGCUGGUUUGGGUUUACCGUCAGUAAAUACGGACUGUCUCAUCGUGCUGGCAUACGCUCGCUUUGCUGGAGCUCCGCUCAAAAUUCACAAGAUUUCUAACCCCUGGAGAAGCCCCACAGGUUCACUUCCUGCUCUCAGGACCAAAGAUGAAGGCAGCUGCUCCCAACCCAGUCAGAUCAUCAUUCAGUUGAGGAAACAGAAAUACAAUGCAGACUAUGAUCUCUCGGCCAAAGAGGGCGCAGACACUCUGGCCUUCAUCUCACUGCUGGAGGAGCGACUGUUACCUGCGCUGAUCUACGCUUUAUGGAUCGAUCCUAAAAACUAUGUGGAGGUGACGCGCCGCUGGCAUGGAGAGAAUAUGUCCUUCCCGCUCAACUUCUUCCUGCCGGGCCUCAUGCAGAACAGGCAGCUUGAGCGACUCCGCCUGAUCCGGGGAAACAGUUCGCUGGAGGCGGGAGAAGAGGCAGAGAAGGAGCUUUACCACGAUGCUCUGGAGUGCCUCAAUCUUCUCUCUCAGCGACUGGGAUCGAACACAUUUUUCUUUGGCGAUUCGCCCUCUUCUCUAGAUGCAUAUGUCUUUGGUCAUCUAGCUCCGCUUAUUAAGAUCCGGCUGCCUAACUGCCGACUGCAGCAGAACUUGAAGAAUCUGGACAACUUGAACACAUUUUGCUGUAACAUCCUGAGCUUGUACUUCCCCAGCGAGAGUAAAGAGGGCGUCAAUCGUCCGAUGUCCAGCACACAGCAGGGGAGCGACUUUGACAACGAGCCAUACAAGAGACGCAAGCAGCUGCUGUCAGUGCUGGUCGCAGUGGCAGCGAUGCUGAGCUACGCUCUCUUCACCGGCAUAGUAGCUAUUGAGCAUGUGCAGGAGGAGGAGCCUGUAGGCCCCGCCUCACUCAGAGGCCCCUCCCAUGAGGAAGAGGAUGAGUGAAAGUAGGACUUUUUAGUUGCACUAGGAUGGUCAUGCCUACAUGGUGGAAGAAAACACAGGAACAACAUAUUGUUGGGGAUUCAUGUAUUAUUUAUUCCUUGAGCUUUAUUUGCUUGAUAAUCUUUGGUUUUAUAUCUUAUUUUUUCCAUAGAGCUGCACUCGUUGCUUAAAUCUUUUGACUGGGUAUAUUCACCUGUGUUAGCUACAAAUGCUAAGCUAAGUUUAGCUGAAAAAGCACUUAAAACUUCACCGUCGUCACCAACCUCACUGUUCAUUGUGUGGACCAAAACAUAUAUUACAGUUUUAAAUAGCUUUAUGAUAAUGAGAAUGAGAUUUACAUCUCUUACGUGCUAUUGCCUUAUUUAAAGCUCUGUGUUUUUCUUUUUACACAUUUUAUUUGCUUACCUGCGUUGUUCUGCUCUGCUGUCAGUACUGGACUGCUGUUAUAUACUUCAGAGAGAUUAAUACUUAUGUUAAUGUGAUGAUCCUAUUGAGUGAAAUAGGAAAUUACCAAUAUUUAAUGAUGUUAGAGUCUUAAAGACAUACAGUAAAUCACCAAAAACAUAUAAUUUAUUCGACUUCAUGUCUCAUUCCAAACCUGUGCGACUUGGUUUCUCGUGUGAAAUACAAAAGGACAUAGUAUGUAAAAUGUCAACAUUGAUUUCCUCUCAAUUAAAGUGCAGAUUUGUGCUCCAGAAGGAGAAAAAGUAGUUCAAACAACUUGUGAUCUAUUUUCUAAAUAUUCUGCAGCCAUACUUUAGUUAAUUUAUAUAAUUAUUCACUAAAAAUAUCCCUCUUGGCUAUUGGAACUUAUUUGCGCUAUAUAUUCUUAUUCAAAUAUGCAUAUGCAUGUUAAAAUUUGGAUCAGCAUGUUUGAUCACAUGUGAGAACCAUUAGCAUUUGGCAUCACUAAUUUGUGCAUUGCACAUUUGAAUAUUGAGCCAGAAUGAUUAUUAUGGCACAUUGUAUAGGAAACACUGACUUAAACAGGAUGAUUAAAAAUAUCUUCUUUUGUGACAAUCAUACAGGUUUACAUCAACACAGGGGUGAGUUAAAGAUGACAGAAUUUUAAUUUUUGAAUAAGCGAACCCUUUAAACACUUUCAGCUUACUGCAAAGGAUAAAGAGGAACUGUUUUACAUUAUUGAGGAUUAGAAAUGGCACUUGCAUAUUUUUUAGGAGAACGUAACAGAUUAUUAAAGCCAAAAGUUACUGUCCAAAGAAAUCUUGCUGACAGACCACAAAACUGGCAAAAGAUGUUUCAGUUCCUGUAACUUUCCAUGAGGUCUAUGGCAGUUAAACUAAGUUUUAACAGUUUUUUUUUUUGAUCUAGUUAAACUGUUUGAAAGAGAAACAAUGGAUUAAUGAAGAUGGCUGAUUUGGGUAUUGUUACUUAUUGUUUGUUGUCUUAUUUAUUUAUUUAUUUAUUUUUUCUUCUAAGCAUCUUUGUUUUAGACCAUAAAGCUCCAAAACUAGUUCCCUGGUGUGUUGAUAUGUAUGUAUUCAUUCAUAGAGAUGGAAAGGAAACUACAGAUUGAACAGUCAGUUAAUCUCAUUUCACAAGGUGUUACGGGCUGUAAAUAUAUAUUGCUUAUAGAGUUCUAUUUUCAUAAUUUAAUAGGCAAAUAAAUGGUCCUGAAUAACCUUGUUCUGCAGUGGGUUUCUUUAUUUUCUGCAGUUGCAAUGCUGCAUUGACACAGAGGGAGUUGCUGAUUUUAUCUGUUGCAUUGUUGUAACAAGUGACCCUGAGCUGAGGACCGUGUGUGUGAAUUGGAGGUUGUAAGAGAGAAAGAUAUUUGUUUCAAGCUACGGUUUACCUGCCGGCAGUGUUUCCGAGCAUCAGAGCUGACUGAGCGAGGGCUCUGUGAAUUGGUGCCCUGGGGAGACACAGCUGUGUGUUACAGCACCAGACUGGAAUCCUUCUCUGGCUCCUGUUCGUUUCCUUGUAUUUGUGUGUGGAAACAUAGUGAACCCCCUUCCCAGCACUAGAUCCAGAGAAAUCAGGAGCUCCCCGAAGCCACACGACAUCGUUUAAUGACCUCAGAAGAAUCAUCUGGGAAAGAAUUCCUGUUCAAGAAGGAAAAAUGCAUUUGGAUUGUGCUCAUUUUCCACACAGGGAUUGAGACGGGGAAGCGGGUCCAGUAAAGCUCAAGUAUGACAGAACUGUUCCCCCGACACCUGCUGUUAAAAGCUGUUUCUAGGGAAACUCAGAGGUAAUGAAAAAUAAACAUCACCCCAGGACA